rnacentral:antisense_RNA from 3 species
CUUGAUCGACCCCAGCCACAGCGGGCUGUCCGCGUCGCGUUCCCGCCCGUACGUCGACAGCAGCGCCUCGGCCUC